GUUUAGUUUAAGGAAGUGGGCAGCCAUCCAGUUAGAAACAGCAGAGAGGCAGUCAGAGACACUAAAGACAUCACUAGAGACAUCACAAAACACAAAGUUCAGUGUGAGUUGCACAGAGCUCCCAGAUCUGUCACCCGAUUUUCCCUUCGUUUUCCUGUUCACGUGACUGACCGGCUUUGUCAUCCGGUGUUGGGAGGAUUGAGGGAAAAUGCACCACAAGUGACAGUUAAAGUUAAAUUCUGGACAUUUAAAGCCCAUACAUGAGCACUAGAACAACACUUGUAUGGGCAAUGCUGGGACGACGAACACUGUUUGUGACAUCUAGCUGGGCCCUGAC